UACGUAGGGUGCGAGCGUUAAUCGGAAUUACUGGGCGUAAAGCGUGCGCAGGCGGUUUUGUAAGCCAGAUGUGAAAUCCCCCGGGCUCAACCUGGGAAUGGCAUUUGGGACUGCAAGGCUGGAGUACGGCAGAGGAGACUGGAAUUCCUGGUGUAGCAGUGAAAUGCGUAGAUAUCAGGAGGAAUACCGAUGGCGAAGGCAGGUCUCUGGGCUGAUACUGACGCUCAUGCACGAAAGCGUGGGGAGCAACAGG
rnacentral:rRNA from 1 species